rfam:Lottia gigantea unplaced genomic scaffold LOTGIsca_14, whole genome shotgun sequence.
GUCUUUGGUUAUCUAGCUGUAUGAUUGAAAUAGAAACAUUAUAAAGCUAGGUUACCAAAGGC